UUGGGCUUGGGACCCGAAUAUUUCAAUCUGAUUCGGCCCGCUCCCCAAAUUCCCCCAACCCAACGAUUUUUCUAUCACCAAACCGUAAAUCCUCGCCCUUUCCCAAAAUUUCACUCUCAAUUUGUCACCGGACUCCGCCGCAAGAACAUGGGAACCCCCACACCACAGUCUGUCGAGACUGUUCGAACCCCAGAUGGUCGCCUCAAGUAUCCUGGCCUCCUCACAACUGCUAAGAAACACAAAGCAAGCUUUGUGCAGUUUGCUAUCAUGACCGGAAUCCUAAUGACAAGCCUACGAUCUCUCGGCCAUAAGUACCGCAUUCAUGAACUCAUGGAGGAUGCUGCCUUCCUCAAGAAAGAGCAAGGGAGCGUCACUGCUCGCAUGAAUCACAUCAAGGAGAGCCUACGUGCUGAGGCCGCUGCUGAGCCCACGGGAGCUUUUGCAGCUAGGCUUCGCCUCCUCCUCGGAGAUGAAUGAAGCACUCAUUCCUUCUGCCCCCAAUAAGCAUUUUAUGAAAGGUUGUUUGAGCUGUUUCUGGUGAAUGAUUUGUAGUAUCAGAAUUUUACUAAUAAGUUUGUGAAAAUUAGGGAGUUAGAAAUAGUUAUAGUAGUUGAUAUUGUUAUCCGGGAAAAGUGUUCUUUCAUCGAGGAUUUUGAACUGAGAUUAUACUACUAUAGUCCUUUUUUGAUGGGCUUGAUGUUAAAUUUGUGGAA